rnacentral:tRNA from 4 species
GCGGACGUANCCAAGUGGAUCAAGGCAAU